UACGAAGGGGGCGAGCGUUGUCCGGAAUCACUGGGCGUAAAGGGCGCGUAGGUGGUUUGAUAAGGGUGUGGUGAAAGCCCGGGGCUCAACCCCGGGUCGGCCGUGCGAACUGUCGAGCUGGAGCACUGUAGAGGCAGGUGGAAUUCCGGGUGUAGCGGUGGAAUGCGUAGAGAUCCGGAAGAACACCGGUGGCGAAGGCGGCCUGCUGGGCAGUGGCUGACGCUGAGGCGCGACAGCGUGGGGAGGCAAACAGG
rnacentral:rRNA from 1 species